GAAAUUUUCAUUUUUUUUUAUUGUUAUUUUCUAGUUGGGAGGCAGACUUUUUAUCCUCUAGAGAUCCGAACACAACGAUCCAGAACGAGAAACUUCCUCAACUAACACCCGCCAUUGCUCACCAGCCACCGCCCCACCACCACCUACAGAGGUAGAGAGGCAAGGGUUCUUAAUCAUCGACAAUGGCGUCCGCCUUUGACUCCUUCAGUCCCGGGGGAGACGACUCCACCAACAACAUCCAAAAUGACCAAAUUUCAUCAAAUUCCCGCCCUUUCGACUACGAUGGCUAUAUGGGUUACGACUCCUCAUUCCCCGCACCCACCUCCCAGGAUGACGUUUUCUCCGGCCAACCUCCACCACCCAUCUCGGAUGACCUCAAUGUUGAUCCUCCUGUCAAUGUUAUGUCGCCCGCCGACUUAAACGACAGCGACCACCCACAUUCUCAGGAGGUGUACGGGUUUGGGUUGUCUGCGCCGAACCAGGAGUUCUCCUCGCCUUUCGAGACCACGGGGACGCCUGAAACCAAUGGUAAUACGAAGGGGUAUGGAGAGGAUGAUGGUGGCAUUUUUGCCUCCGAUGGACCGCUUCUGCCCGAUCCUAGUCAGAUGCGGGAGGAAGGCUUCCAACGACGCGAGUGGCGCCGCUAUAGGGAACUUGCAGAUGAAGAGAAAAUAGCCAGAGUUCUAUCGGAGAGGUCCCUGUUAAGGACCUUCUGACGCUCAAGUUAGAGAGGGUGGUAUUAUGGUAGAAAUAGAUUAUGGAAAGAGUAGAGAGAAAAGAGGUAGGGUAGAGAGAAGAUAGAUAGAGUGGAGAUAAGAGUGUGAGGAGAAGAGGAGAGGGAGAAAGGGGGGAGGAAGGAACCUUUUUUCCUCUUACUUGGCCCUAUUUAUAGGGAAAGUUGAUAAUAGCAUAUUCUUGGGAAUUUUCCUUGGUGGGGUGUAUAUUUUUUUAUUUAAAAGGGUAUAUAUUAUGUGUGAUUAUUUAUAUUGUAUCAUUAUGUUUCAUCAAAAUCCAGAAAUAUUCUAGACCGAUGUCUUUGUCUUUCCUUAUCAACUAUAUUGAAUUCCAAUGGUGGUGUUUUUAGGUUCUUCUGCAUCUUAUUUUAGCUACCUUUCUAUUAUCUUGUCUAUCAAGGGUUCGCCCAACAAUGAACAAAUGAUAACUGGUUAUGGUUACAAAAACAGAGUGCAGGCUUAUAAUGAUCAGUGAAUUAUUGUUGUCAAACAAAGUAUUGAAUAAUGUUUGCUUUGCAUCAUCUUAUGUGUGUAAAUUUAAAGUGAAAAGGUAUUCUAGAGAUCAUUUUGUUAUUGUUUGUAUGUUUUGCCUGUAAUUUAGGUAUUAAAUUUGUAGAUUUUAUAACCUCUUAUGUCCAUUUUUCACAGGCAAAAUGCUCUCCAUCUUGAGGAAAAGGAGAAGAGAGAGAAGGAGAUGCGCAAUCAAAUUAUUAAUGAAGCUGAAGAAUAUAAAAGAGAAUUUUAUGAGAAAAGGCAGCUCAAUUGUGAAACUAACAAGGCUCACAACAGAGAAAGAGAGAAGCUGUACUUGGCUAACCAAGAGAAAUUCCAUAAAGAAGCACACAAACAUUAUUGGAAAGCCAUUGCUGAGAUCAUUCCUCGAGAGGUUCCAAAUAUUGAAAAGAGAGGUAGGAAAGAUCCUGAAAAAAAACCUUCCAUUGUGGUAAUUCAGGGUCCAAAGCCUGGUAAACCCACUGAUCUUUCAAGAAUGAGGCAAAUUUUUGCAAAGCUUAAACAGAACCCUCCAGCUCAUAUGAUGCCUCUCCCACCUGCCAAAGAUGGCAAGGAUGCAAAGGAUGGGAAAGAUGGCAAGGAUGCGAAGGACGGGAAAGACACCAAGGACGGGAAAGAUGGCAAGGAUGCAAAGGGAGGGGAAGAUGGCAAGGAUGCCAAGGGAGGGGAGGAUCGCAAGGAUGAGAAAAGUUCUGCUGCACCUACACCUACACCUACACCUACAACAGCAGCUGCUGCUGUUGCCAACAACCAACCUUCUUUGCCCAUUAAAGAUGCCCCUGCCAAUGUUGCACCUGACUCAUCUAAAAUAGAGACUCUUGUUGCUGCCGAGGGUGAGCAAACUGCUGCUAGUGAACCAGCCACCAAUGAGUGAUGGCACAUCAUGAUUUUUAUUAUAAAUUUCGUUUCAUUCUUUGAAUACUUUGCUUUAACCAUUUUUGCAAAGAAUAAGUGCAUCUGAGUUGGAUGUUCUUGAGUCUAACCUGGGCUGUUGCAACUGUUGAGCUUCUUCGUAACUAUAGGAUUCUCUAGGAUUUUUUUGGAAUUUUUGUUCUUCUACUUUCUUUCUCUCUCUAUUUCUUGUUCCUUCUCUCCCUGAAAUUUCUUUGCCUUCUAACCUCUAUUUCUUCUUCCUCUUCCUUUCUUCUUAAAUCAAGUUCUCUCUUCUUCUGUUAAUUUCUAGUUCUUUCUUCUAUUUCCUUCUUUAAUUUCACAUUUCCAAUGUUUCAGGAAACAUGUUUCUUGAAAUUUUUGUUUUUCCUUCCAUCUCUCACCAAACUUUCCCAAAUUCCACAAAUAUUUGAGAUUAAAAGAAAAAGAUUUUUUUUUCUUUGCUCUCUCUUUUUCUCUCUCAUGCGAGCUACCUUAUUCCCUUUUCCUCUAUCAAAUUCUUCUUAACCUCUCUAUUUCCAAUUUCUACCCAGUUAGGGCUUCUUUUCUCUAUUCUUUAAAUUCUUGAAAUCCUUAUUUUUGUCUCAACUUUUCUUCCCUUGUCCCU
rnacentral:misc_RNA from 1 species